rnacentral:tRNA from 6 species
UGGAAUGUAGGAUAGUUUGGCAAUCCGCCUGGUUUGGGACCAGGACAUCGCACGUUCAAAUCGUGUCAUUCCAA